rnacentral:rRNA from 1 species
AUACGGAGGUGGCAAGCGUUGUUCGGAAUUACUGGGCGUAAGGGGCGCGUAGGCGGUUCUGCAAGUCAGAUGUGAAAGCCCCGGGCUUAACUCGGGAAUUGCAUCUGAAACUGCUUAACUUGAGUCCUGGAUGGGGUAGUGGAAUUCCCAGUGUAGCGGUGAAAUGCGUAGAUAUUGGGAGGAACACCUGCGGCGAAGGCGGCUACCUGGACAGUGACUGACGCUGAGGCGCGAAAGCUAGGGGAGC